UAACUAUCAGCGAUGGAUGUCUUGGUUCUCGCAACGAUGAAGGACGCAGCAAAAUGUGAUAGUCAAUGUGAAUUGCAGAAUUCAGUGAAUCAUCAGGUUGCUGAACGCAGACGGCACUUCUGGUACCCCCAGGAGUAUGUCUAUCUCAGUAUUUCUUAAACUC
rnacentral:rRNA from 1 species